GUCUAUAGCCAUAUCACUGUGAAGCACCCGAUCUCGUCUGAUCUCAGAAACUAAGCUGGGGCUGGCUUGGUUAGUACUUGAAUGGGAGAAAUACUUGAUCUGUAUUUU
rnacentral:rRNA from 1 species